CUUUACAAAAACAGUAUGUUUGGCCUAAAAUAGUUCAGCUGACUCUGAGGGUUUACAUUGACGACUGAGCAAGUGGCAAUAAUGGCUGUGUUAUUGAGGACAGAAGGCUGUGUUAGUGUGCCUGACUCCAUCUGUUCAAAAGGGUGAAUGUUAUGUUGGCAGCUCCGCAUUCUAGGCCUAAGGUUUGGAGGGCACAGGGAAUGCUGACAGGCCAUAAUACCUGGGCAGGGGGGCUGCCCUGAUGAUGUCAUCAGAACCAUGACCACAGGGCUACAUGUCCCCCCAAGGAUGGGAGACAGGGAAGACAAAGGGUCAGGUAAUAGGGAUAGGUGGAUAAAACAAAGAGUAGAAGUUGGGAGUAUAGUAGGGAACAGAGGAUGAGGGCUCAGGUGGAGGUGGGGACAUAAAGCAUCCAGGAAUAAAAUGUGACCUUAAAAUCCUAAGGAAUGGCUAGUAUCCAGAGUAAUACCAUGGAUUCAUCUUUAAAGUGGCUCAGAUAAAACCCUUAAACAGCAGCUGCUUCCUUUUGCUAGGGGGAAUGGAAGUUGGAAUUUCAAAUAUCCCCUCCCAAAGAAUCACAUCUUUUUAGAGGUUCCUGACACCCUUAGGAGAACCCACCAAUUCUAUGUUGAGAUGAGAAUAGCACAACCAUGGCAGUGAUGCAGGGUACCAACGCUGCCACAGUAGUUUAUUUUGUUGUUGUUUUGUUUUGUUUUUUGAGAUGGAGUCUCACUCUAUUGCCAAGCUGGAGUGCAGUGGUGCGAUCUCGGCUCACUGCAACCUCUGCCUCCCGGGUUCAAGCAAUUCUCCUGCCUCAGCCUUCCGAGUAGUUGGGACUACAGGCACGCACCGUCACGCCUGGCUAAUUUUUUGUAUUUUGGUAGAGACGGGGUUUCACCAUGUUGGCCAGGAUGGUCUCAAUCUCCUGACCUCGUGAUCCACCCGCCUCAGCCUCCCAAAGUGCUGGGAUUACAGGUGUGAGCCACCGCGCCCGGCCCACAGUACAGUUUUACAAAGAAAGGUGUAGCUCCAGGAAAGGAAAGGAAUAACCUUUACCAUUGACUGUGCUGCAGGACUCUAGCCCUGAUCUGCUCUCUUCUGGGAGCAUCUGAUAGAACAAACAGAAACCCCUCUCCCACUGUUCUCCUGUGUCCAGAGUGGGAGGCAUAACUGCUUUGCCUCCAGUCAUCAUCUGGGGGCAUAUCUACUCUUCGAGGACCAGGGGUUCGGGACCCUGGAACAGGAUCUGAAUUCCAAGCUGACCUCAGGGGUACAUGAAGACUGCUAGAUGAGACGGGAUCUCACUGUGUUGCCCAGGCUGGUCUCGAACUGCUGGACUCAAGUCAUCCUCCCAUCUUGGCCUCCCAAAGUGCUGGAAUUACAGUGGACAACCUUCAAUGCACUGGUACUUUGUACCCUGACCUCUACUGUGAUGAACACUCAACUUGGGCAAGGAAGUGAAAUUCUCCAAAGGUAUGAUUACCUACAAACCUAGCCACUGAUAUUAUUUAAGUUUGUUGAUCUCUAAUGGCUUGGGCUUUCCUGCCUCUUCUACUUACACAUUACUGCACUAGUACCAUAUGAAAAUUCUCAAGAAGGCUUUUUUCCUCUUCUUGCUGAUACACAUGCAUCACUUUAGAUUGAAAACACACUGAAUUCUAUUCAAUCACAUACUGGGGGUGAGAGGAAAAAGCAAACCAAUACUCCAUCCCAUUUCUUUCCUUCUUUCUUUGAUUAGUGCAGUGGGUUCUGACCCAAUCAGCAGCCUUUGCUUCUCAGAUUCCUCUCAAGGCUUUAUGACUCUUCUCACCCCAGGAAACCCUACAACACGCACGGCCUUUCAGAACUGCUACAUGGAAUGGACAUUCCUCUGGGCUCCAGCUGAAUGUUUGUAAAUAAAAUAAUGACUGCGUGUCCUUAUUUUUGCUGAGUACACAG
rnacentral:lncRNA from 1 species